CCCCCAACCCCCUGAAUGAUGUAGGCUAUGGGGCCACAUAAGACUUUGUCCAUCCAGGGUUACGAUGAAUGCAAAAUAUAAACUAAAGAACCCCCUGAAUGAUGUAGGCUAUGGGGCCACAUAAGACUUUGUGCAUCCAGGGUUACAUAGCAGGACAACUUUAAACUAAAAAGCUACCAGACUGGGAUUUUAGUGUACUCCAGGAUCUAACAAAUACAUACGUAC